rnacentral:lncRNA from 1 species
AAUCCAAAAGACCCUAGGUCUCUAUCACUUAUGGUUUACCAGUUAGAAAUGCAUAUCACUUAAUUUAAUGGAAAAGGGGGAAUAACUCUCAUAUGGAGUCUCCGUAAAGCUUCGGUCCAAAUGAAUAUCCUAAUCCUGAAGAAGUAACGAGCAAUUUGGUAAAAUAAAUUUGUCGUAAUCUUUUACGGUUGCGAAGGAGUAGUGGCCACAAGAAAAACAGUGUUUGGGGAGAUAACUCUUACAACGUAAAGUAUUUUGUUACGCGGUUGUAAAUUUUUUAAAGCGUAUAAACUAUACGAUAUCAUAUUCCAAAUAUCUAAGCGACAUCUUUUGAAACAUCAAUACUACGC